GUGCCUGUGGCUCAAAUGAGUAGAGCGCCGGCUCCAUAUGCCGGAGGUGGUGGGUUCAAACCCUGCCACGGCCA
rfam:Otolemur garnettii contig139649, whole genome shotgun sequence.